GUUGGGCCUGCUCGGUGAGAAGAAAAAUUUAACAGCUGCGGUAUUAUAACUGUACUAAGGUAGCAUAAUAAUUUGCCUUAUAAAUUAAGGCUAGAAUGAACGGUUUGACGAAAAUUAGACUGUCUUUAUUUUAUUUGUUAGAAAUUAAUUUUUAUAGUGAAAAAGCUUGAAUAAUUUAAGGGGACGAGAAGACCCUAUUGAGCUUUAUUUAUUAAUAUUUAAAUAUAAAUAUAUAAUUUAUAUUAUGAAAAUUAUGUUGUAUAUAUAUAUAUUUAAUUGGAUUUAAUUUUGAUUGGGGUGAUCAAGGAAUAAAGAUAAAGUAACUUCCUUAAAAUUAAUGAUUGUUUUUAUAGAGUAAUAAACCAAGUUUUUUGCUUAUAAGAUAAGUUACCAUAGGGGUAACAGCGUAAUUUUUUUUGAGAGUUCAUAUUGAAAAAAGAGAUUGCGACCUCGAUGUUGGAUUAAAAAUUACCUUAAGG
rnacentral:rRNA from 1 species